GGGCGAUUAGCUCAGUGGUAGAGCGCCUCUUUGACGUGGAGGAUGUCGGGAGUUCGACCCUCUCAUCGCCCACCA
rnacentral:tRNA from 11 species